CAAGCGGUGGAUUAUGUUGUUUAAUUCGACGCAACGCGAAGAACCUUACCAGGCCUUGACAUACUCGGCAAAGCUCUAGAGAUAGAGUGGAGGUUAUCCGGGAUACAGGUGGUGCAUGGUUGUCGUCAGCUCGUGUCGUGAGAUGUUGGGUUAAGUCCCGCAACGAGCGCAACCCUUGUCUUUAGUUACCAUCAUUCAGUUGGGGACUCUAGAGAGACUGCCGGUGAUAAACCGGAGGAAGGUGGGGAUGACGUCAAAUCAUCAUGCCCCUUAUGGCCUGGGCUACAAACGUAAUACAAUGGCGUAUACAAAGGGAUGCGAAAGGGCGACCUGGAGCAAAACUCACAAAGUACGUCUCAGUUCAGAUUGGAGUCUGCAACUCGACUCCAUGAAGGCGGAAUCGCUAGUAAUCGCGGAUCAGCAUGCCGCGGUGAAUACGUUCUCGGGGUUU
rnacentral:rRNA from 1 species